ensembl:lncRNA
GGUACUUCAAAUCCUGGUCUCCUUUUCCAAGCCACCUGCCAUCAUCUUUUCAGCUGCCCCAUGCAUUCUUUCCAGUUUUUAUAGCUGCCUUCAGUGGGAGAGAUGAGGUGGUGAGAGUAACUGUGAAGCCAGAACACAGACUGCACAGCCACAAACAGAAACAUGACCCUUGAGUUGCACCAGGCAUGUGUGAUCUUAGCUGCCUGACCAGGGGUUGGACCAAGCCUCCUGUAACAGAAGCAUGGAGUCUUAACCACUGGACCACCAGGGAAGUCCCACAGCCCCUGCAGUUGAUAGGGAAGGAGGACACCCCUCUGUGUGGGGGCUUCAAGCAGCCCAAGUCUAGAUGCUCAACCUUAAGAGCUAGUGCGGAGAAGGCAAUGGCACCCCACUCCAGUACUCUUGCCUGGAAAAUCCCAUGGACGGAGGAGCCUGGUGGGCUGCAGUUCAUGGGGUCGCUAAGAGUCAGAUGUGACUGAGCGACUUCACUUUCACUUUUCACUUUCAUGCAUUGGAGAAGGAAAUGGCAACCCACUCCAGUAUUCUUGCCUGGAGAGUCCCAGGGACGGGGGAGCCUGAUGGCCUGCCGUCUAUGGGGUUGCACAGAGUCAGACACGACUGAAGCGACUUAGCAGCAGCAGCAACAAGAGCUAGUGACGUUAUCACCCAGGUGCUUGUCCUCUUCAUUAGCCCUGGAGAUUCUGAGACAGAAAGUUCAUGGUGGAGCCAAGGAAUCUGUUUCUUUUUGAGUUCUCUGGAUGACUUCUCUGCACAGACAAGUUUGAGAACCACAGUGCAGCCUGCUCAACUCAAUGAAAAGGGGUCACAAAGGCAUUUCUACUUGAACUCAUGGGCUCCCUCUGUGUCUCACUGCCAGAGAUCAGCAGUCCCAGAAUCUUAAAUUACCAAGUCUUUUCUUUUAAACACACUUGGGCCUUGAUGGGACACUACAGAGUCCUACUGCUCAACAUCAAUGGGACAAGUACAUGAAAUUCCAAAGAGGUGGAGAGAGUGAACAAUCUCUGAAUGGAAAGACGAUGGCCUUUGAGGUUGGAAAUACCAUUGGCUUUGACAUGUAUUAGUUGAAACAUCUUGAGCAGAUUACUUAACUUUCCUGAGCCUCCAUUUUAUUAUCUGUAAAAGAAGCAUAAUUCCAACACAUAGUAAUGGAUAAACAAGGAAAUUGAAGGAUCUCAUGUCUUGGUCUCUUUAGUCAACUCCGGAGGUUUGUUCCUCAAUAUCUAGCCUCUACAUCUUCUGGACCCUUUCUUGCACUGCUAGCAAUAAGGCUGUUUCACUUUCUUAUCAUUCAUGUGUUCACUGCAGUAACACUUACCAUUUUCUUCGAGAACUUUUCCUUUGGACUUCCUUGGUGGCUCAGUGGAUAAGAAUCCACCUGCCCAUGCAGGUGACAUGGGUUGGAUCCCGGAUCUGGGAAGAUCUCACAUCCACGGGGCAACUAAGUCCGUGCAUCACAACUGCUGAGCCUGCGCUCUAGAGCCUGUGCUGUGCGACAAGAGAAGCCACCAAAAUGAGAAGUCUGAGAAUGCAACGAUGAGUGCCCUCUGCUUCCCACAACUAAAGAAAGAAAAUGAAAAAAAGGCUGUGCAGCAAUGGAGAUCCAGCAUAGCUAUAUAUAUAUAUAUAUAUAUAUAUAUAUAUAUAUAUAUACAGACAACUGAAAUUUGCAUUCACACCUUGGCAAACUUUGGCACAAGAAGC